GCACGGUCGGGGAAAGAGAGUCUUUCGUAUUCUGUUCUGCUUCAUAAUGAAGUGAAGUAUAUGUUCCCUGAUUGCGAUACACAUGGCCAACACGUGAACAUGGAACAAUUUCAACUAAACCUCCACAGAGCCAAACCUGCAAAAAGGACCAGUAUAGAAGCUCAGUAAUUGCAACUGAUUUUGCCUGUUGAAGCCAC